CCGCGCCGGGCGGAGGAUGCAGACGCCGGCGGGCGAGGAGGAUGGAGGCCGGGGAGGCAGCGCCGGCGGGGGCGGGGGGCCGCGCCGCGGGCGGCUGGGGCAAGUGGGUGCGGCUCAACGUGGGGGGCACGGUGUUCCUGACCACCCGGCAGACGCUGUGCCGCGAGCAGAAGUCCUUCCUCAGCCGCCUGUGCCAGGGCGAAGAGCUGCAGUCGGACCGCGAUGAGACCGGGGCCUACCUCAUUGACCGAGACCCCACCUACUUUGGGCCCAUCCUGAACUUCCUGCGUCAUGGCAAGCUGGUGCUGGACAAGGACAUGGCUGAGGAGGGGGUCCUGGAGGAAGCGGAGUUCUAUAACAUCGGCCCGCUGAUCCGCAUCAUCAAAGACCGGAUGGAAGAGAAGGACUACACAGUUACCCAGGUCCCACCCAAGCACGUGUACCGCGUGCUGCAGUGCCAGGAGGAGGAGCUCACGCAGAUGGUCUCCACUAUGUCUGACGGCUGGCGCUUCGAGCAGCUGGUGAACAUCGGCUCCUCCUACAAUUACGGUAGCGAGGACCAGGCGGAGUUCCUGUGCGUGGUGUCCAAGGAGCUUUACAGCUCCCCACACGGGCUGAGCUCUGAGUCCAGCCGCAAAACCAAGCCCAGUCAUCUCAGGAUCCCGCUAACCCUUCCUCCCUCCCACCACCGCCUCCUCCGCCUCCUGCUGGAGGUCCUGCCUCAUCUUCAUCCACCUCCUCUUCCUCCUGGAUCUCAUCUGCACCCUGCCUCUUCCCUCUCUGCCCCUGUCCGGGUUUUCUCUCUGCCUGCUCACGCCUCCCUCCUGGGGCUGCCCCGGUCCCAGCCUCCUGUGCCCUCCACCCAGGCCCCCCGGCCCCGUGUCCCAGAGCAUCUUGCCUGCCGCCUCCUGCGCCCCUUCCAGCUCCUCCUGCCUCCCAGCCUGGGGAGGGGGCGUGCAGCUGCACCUCCUCUGUGCCCACCAACCCUGCCGGGCACCUCUGAGGCUGGGCCUCGAUGCAGGUCCGGCCCUGUCCUGCCCCGCCGCCGCCUCACGUUUCCUCCUUGCAGGUUCCCGUCUGCACCCUCUCAGACCUGAGGCCGAGCUUGCAGUGAGGGCUUCUCCUCGGCCCCUCGCCCGCCCCCAGAGCUGCCACCCCUGCUGUUACAAGCCAGAGGCACCCGGAUGUGAGGCCCCAGAUCACCUCCAGGGACUUGGGGUUCCCAUCUGAAAUCCUUUAUUUUUGUUCCACGGGGUGGGCUCCUGGCCUGAGACGGAAGAAGUGCUCUCCCCGCCGCCACCUCUGCGCCUGUGGGGCUGUGAUGUGCCCCUGCCCCCAGGGGCGGGCGGGUGGCGCGCUGGGACCUCUCGAGGCCUGAGGUGGGCCCUGGGACCCCUGGGCAGAGCCACCUGCCCCUGGCCAAAGUGUGGCACUGUCCAGCUGUGUCUUCCAGGCCCCCGUGUCCCCUCUCCCGGGUCCCCCUGCUGCAUGGCGGACACACUCCCCCCUGCCCAGUCACAUCACCUCCUUGAGCCUUCGGCGUCCAGUGGGGUGACUCCUCCCCCCAUAUCUCAUGGUUGGGUUGGGGUGCAAAGAGAAACAAGGCCCCUGAAGUCCUGGGGAGUGUUGGGGGCUGCCCUGGCUUCACCUCCCCCUGGAGGAGAGGGCCCAGCCCAAGCCCCACGCUGGGUUUGUGAGUGGAGAUUCGGGCUGGUGGGGGCGAAGCGUGUGGGGUUUGGCCCUGCGAGGAGGGGUGGGUGACUUGGCCUUCACGUUGGCCGUCCCACCUACCCGCAGCCAUGUGCAUCGCUGGCAGAGUGCCCUGGCCUGGCGGGGGGGCAGAAGGGGCUGGGCAGGGGCAGUGGAGCAACUCAGGAGCUUGCGGUUGGGAAGCGGACACUCCCCUCUGCCUAGGGGAGGGCCUGGGUAUGACGGGGCUGAGCGAGGGGCCCCUCCGGCGUUGGCCUCCCAGGAUGGGCACGGGCUUCUCAUCCGCGUUCGACGCCCCCAUGUAAUAAAACCUGAACCUAAAGAAACA